UACGUAGGGUGCGAGCGUUAAUCGGAAUUACUGGGCGUAAAGCGUGCGCAGGCGGUUUGUUAAGACAGAUGUGAAAUCCCCGGGCUUAACCUGGGGAACUGCAUUUGUGACUGGCAAGCUAGAGUAUGGCAGAGGGGGGGUAGAAGUUCCACGUGUGAGCAGUGAAAUGCGUAGAGAUGUGGAGGAAUACCGAUGGCGAAGGCAGCCCCCUGGGCCCAAUACUGACGCUGAGAAGCGAAAGCAUGGGGAGCGAA
rnacentral:rRNA from 1 species